ensembl:lncRNA
GGGCCCUAAUCUCCGAUACUCUUGCGAGUUGGCUUCCUGCCCCGGAGCCCCCACUCCCCGAGCAAACAGGGCGGCGCGGCGCUGCAUCCGAAAUGCGGCAUUUGAGCCCCGCAGUGGAGGAAAGCCGGUGCAGGCCGCUCGGCUGUAAUUGCCCUUCUCCGCCCUAAUCCUUCGGUCCGGCCCAGUCCGCCGGCUGCGGCCCAUUGAUCAGCGCUGCAGUGGAGGGCUCCGGGAGGGGCGCCCCACCUUCUCCCCGGGGCCUAGGAGGCAGUCGGGACCCACCUACCCGUCCCCCACCCCUUGUUCUUAGAGCCCCUCUUGCUGAGGUCAAUCCGGCCUUGAAGGCGGAGAACGUCCUUGGAAAGGGCAUCGAGGUUGCCGGGGGAAAUGAGCGUGGGGGGAGGAAGAGAACACCUACACCCUUGGCAGGGCCCGCCAGGCUGAGACCCCAGAUCGCGCUGGCCUUCGUUAGGUCCUUAAUGAGAGAGAUCAGAGCAGGAAAAGAGAGACAGAGGGUGACACAGGAGCCUUUGGGGACAAACCCACUGUGGCCUGAAUGAUGGCUUCACCGGGACCAGACUCUGUUCCUAGCUAGGCUUGAUGCUGACUCCUUGAGAGCAGGGACCAAGCCUGGCCUGGAAUUCCUUAUCUGCCCUGCAGCACCCAGGCCGGGGUGGCCCUCAGUAUAUACCCAGGGACCUAAUGCCUGUCUGAAGACUUUGGACAGUUCCUCCUAUUGCUUUAUUUCUGGUUGUGGACAGGGUGACCCAGGUCACAUGUCUGCAGGGACAGGACUGAGCUAAAGCCUGAGCCCUGCACCCCGGAAGCGGUGGGAUCUCCUCCUCCUGCAUCUCAUCAGGCAGAUUACGAAGGCGCAGCUGUCUCCACCUCAUGCUUUUCGGUGCGGCCUGGUGGGGGCUCCUCAGCUUUCUCAUGUACCAGGUGUAUGG